rnacentral:rRNA from 1 species
UUCCGGUUGAUCCUGCCGGACCCCACUGCUAUCGGGAUGGGACUAAGACAUGCUAGUCGAGCGUCUCUAAGCUAUGGAGGAGACGCGGCACACAGCUCAGUAACACGUGGCUAACCUGCCCUUGGGACAAGGACAACUCCGGGAAACUGGGGCUAAUCCCUGAUAGGUGAGAACUCCUGGAAUGGAUUCUCGCUGAAAGGACGUUUAGACCAUGCUUCUAGGCGUCGCCCAAGGAGGGGGCCGCGACCGAUCAGGUUGUUGGUGAGGUAACGGCUCACCAAGCCUUUAACCGGUACGGGCCGUGAGAGCGGAAGCCCGGAGAUGGGCACUGAGACAAGGGCCCAGGCCCUACGGGGCGCAGCAGUCGCGAAGACUCCGCAAUACACGAAAGUGUGACGGGGCUAUCCCGAGUGCCAUCCGCUGAGGAUGGCUUUUCCCCAGUGUAUAAAGCUGGGGGAAUAAGGAGAGGGCAAGCCUGGUGUCAGCCGCCGCGGUAAUACCAGCUCUCCGAGUGGUGGGGAUGUUUAUUGGGCCUAAAGCAUUCGUAGCCUGCUUGGCAAGUCCUCCGUUAAAUCCAACGAUUCAAUCGUUGGGCUGCGGGGGAUACUGUCCGGCUAGGGGGCGGGAGAGGCCGACGGUAUCCCCGGGGUAGGGGUGAAAUCCUAUAAUCCCAGGAGGACCACCAGUGGCGAAGGCGGUCGACUAGAACGUGCCUGACGGUGAUGGACGAAAGCUAGGGGAGCGAACCGGAUUAGAUACCCGGGUAGUCCUAGCCGUAAACGAUGCGGGCUAGGUGUUGGGGUAGCUACGGGCUACUCCAGUGCCGCAGAAGAAGUUGUUAAGCCCGCCGCCUGGGAAGUACGAUCGCAGAUUGAAACUUAUAGGAAUUGGCGGGGGGAGCACUACAUGGGUGAAGCUGCGUUCAAUUGGACUCACGCCGU